rnacentral:rRNA from 1 species
GAUGAACGCUGGCGGCGUGCCUAAUACAUGCAAGUCGAGCGAACGGACGAGAAGCUUGCUUCUCUGAUGUUAGCGGCGGACGGGUGAGUAACACGUGGAUAACCUACCUAUAAGACUGGGAUAACUUCGGGAAACCGGAGCUAAUACCGGAUAAUAUUUUGAACCGCAUGGUUCAAAAGUGAAAGACGGUCUUGCUGUCACUUAUAGAUGGAUCCGCGCUGCAUUAGCUAGUUGGUAAGGUAACGGCUUACCAAGGCAACGAUGCAUAGCCGACCUGAGAGGGUGAUCGGCCACACUGGAACUGAGACACGGUCCAGAAUCCUACGGGAGGCAGCAGUAGGGAAUCUUCCGCAAUGGGCGGAAGCCUGACGGAGCAACGCCGCGUGAGUGAUGAAGGUCUUCGGAUCGUAAAACUCUGUUAUUAGGGAAGAACAUAUGUGUAAGUAACUGUGCACAUCUUGACAGUACCUAAUCAGAAAGCCACGGCUAACUACGUG